GUGCCAGCAGCCGCGGUAAUACAUAGGGGUCAAGCGUUGUCCGGAUUUAUUGGGCGUAAAGAGCUCGUAGGCGGUUCAACAAGUCGGUCGUAAAAGUUUAGGGCUCAACCCUAAAAUGUCGAUCGAUACUGUUGUGACUAGGAUACGGUAGAGGUGAAUGGAAUUCCGAGUGUAGCGGUGAAAUGCGUAGAUAUUAGAAAGAACACCAAUUGCGAAGGCAGCUCACUGGGCCGCUAUCGACGCUGAGGAGCGAAAGCUAGGGGAGCAAACAGGAGGAGGUG
rnacentral:rRNA from 1 species